rnacentral:rRNA from 1 species
AUUGAACGCUGGCGGCAUGCCUUACACAUGCAAGUCGAACGGCAGCACGGGUGCUUGCACCUGGUGGUGAGUGGCGAACGGGUGAGUAAUACAUCGGAACGUACCUUAUCGUGGGGGAUAACGCAGCGAAAGUUGCGCUAAUACCGCAUACGCCCUGAGGGGGAAAGCGGGGGACCGUAAGGCCUCGCGCGAUUAGAGCGGCCGAUGUCUGAUUAGCUUGUUGGUGAGGGAAAAGCUCACCAAGGCGAUGAUCAGUAGCUGGUCUGAGAGGACGAUCAGCCACACUGGGACUGAGACACGGCCCAGACUCCUACGGGAGGCAGCAGUGGGGAAUUUCGGACAAUGGGGGCAACCCUGAUCCAGCAAUGCCGCGUGAGUGAAGAAGGCCUUCGGGUUGUAAAGCUCUUUUGUCAGGGAAGAAACAGCAGCUCUAACACAGUCUGCGAAUGACGGUACCUGAAGAAUAAGCACCGGCUAACUACGUGCCAGCCGCCGCCGUAA